rnacentral:rRNA from 1 species
ACGAGCUGCGGCGUGCCUAAUACAAUGCAAGUAGAACGCUGAAGGGAGAGGCUUGCUCUUCUGGACGAGUUGCGAACGGGUGAGUAACGCGUAGGUAACCUGCCUGGUAGCGGGGGAUAACUAUUGGAAACGAUAGCUAAUACCGCAUAACAGUAAAUGUUGCAUGACAUUUGCUUAAAAGGUGCAAUUGCAUCACUACCAGAUGGACCUGCGUUGUAUUAGCUAGUUGGUGGGGUAACGGCUCACCAAGGCGACGAUACAUAGCCGACCUGAGAGGGUGAUCGGCCACACUGGGACUGAGACACGGUCCAGACUCCUACGGGAGGCAGCAGUAGGGAAUCUUCGGCAAUGGACGGAAGUCUGACCGAGCAACGCCGCGUGAGUGAAGAAGGUUUUCGGAUCGUAAAGCUCUGUUGUAAGAGAAGAACGAGUGUGAGAGUGGAAAGUUCACACUGUGACGGUAUCUUACCAGAAAGGGACGGCUAACUACGUG